UGGGAAGGUGGGGCUCCACUGGGUUGU
rnacentral:sRNA from 1 species